GCCACCACCCUGCUGCACCCUUUGCUGUGACUCCUGGAACAACUGAGAACCAGGGUCUGAGGAGCAGGGUUCGUGCCUGUUCCCUGCAGUCAUCAAGGUCUGACAAAAUAAGCUCAUGGACUCGGGUUUCUGUAAUGGAAGCCCAAUACUACCCGCUAGCAAGACUUGCUGAGGAAAUUACUCCAACAUAGUGAAGAGGCCGCCAAAAAAAGGAGCAAAAUACAAGUUUUUGAUAUUACAAAAGAACCAAUGCUACCUCUGAACCAAUGCUACCUAGAAAAACUAGAAGGAUUCCAUCCCGAGGACAAGGAGAAUUUCUUAAACACAUAAAGCAGAUGGGAUUUAAUUGGAAAGGAAACCCCACAGAGGGACAUGAUUUUGCAACCAUCAGUGGACAAAAGUGCCUUUGGGUUUUAGGUAGGAGGCUGAGAAAUCCCAGUGGAGGCUAAAACCAAGGAAAGCUUCUUUGGGAAGGCAAGCCCAUGCCCAUGUGGCAGGCUCACCAAUCACAGUCCCAGGUGCAGACUCAGAUACAGUCCCUUCUACUGUGUACUCAGCUCUAGCCUUGCUGUCUGUGGUUCUACCACCAGCAUCACACCCUCAAGAACACAAAAGAAACCAGUGCUCGUCCUAGACCCAGAAGAGCUGCAAUCUUCACCACUACAUUUGAACACUGAUCUCCAGUCUCUUCAGCCAUCCAACACACUCACACCAGUGAUUCUACAGUGACUUUCGAGGCCUUCAACCUUUGACCAGCACUGGAUCCUCUAGCUCUCCAGUACAUAGACGGCCAUUUUGGAUUCCUCUGCUCCUGAUUCUGCAGGCUGCCAUCAUGACUUUUCUGUGUCAGAUUCUAUAAGCCUAUCUAAUAAAUCCCUUUGUGAAAUUCUA